rnacentral:rRNA from 1 species
AGCGAACGUUAGCGGCGGGCCUAACACAUGCAAGUCGAGCGAGAAAGGGGCUUCGGCCCCGAGUACAGCGGCGGACGGGUGAGGAACACGUAGGUAAUCUGCCCUUCAGUGGAGGACAACGGUCCGAAAGGACCGCUAAUACUGCAUACGUUCCCCGGGACUCCGGUUCCGGGGAGGAAAGCCUCGCAAGGGGCGCGGAAGGAGGGGCCUGCGUCGCAUCAGCUAGUUGGGGGGGGAACGGCCUACCAAGGCGAAGACGCGUAGCUGGUCUGAGAGGAUGAUCAGCCACACUGGGACUGGGACACGGCCCAGAAUCCUACGGGAGGCAGCAGUGGGGAAUAUUGGACAAUGGGGGCAACCCUGAUCCAGCCGCGCCGCGUGAGUGAUGAAGGCCUUCGGGUCGUAAAGCUCUGUGGGGAGGGACGAACGUCCCCGUGAAGAACGGGGGGUGACGGUACCUCCUUAGCAAGCACCGGCUAACUUCGUGCCAGCCGCCGCAGUAAGAC